CAAUACGUCAGCGGCAGACGGGUGAGUAACGCGUGGGAACAUACCUUUUGGUUCGGAACAACACAGGGAAACUUGUGCUAAUACCGGAUAAGCCCUUACGGGGAAAGAUUUAUCGCCGAAAGAUUGGCCCGCGUCUGAUUAGCUAGUUGGUGAGGUAAUGGCUCACCAAGGCGACGAUCAGUAGCUGGUCUGAGAGGAUGAUCAGCCACAUUGGGACUGAGACACGGCCCAAACUCCUACGGGAGGCAGCAGUGGGGAAUAUUGGACAAUGGGGGCAACCCUGAUCCAGCCAUGCCGCGUGAGUGAUGAAGGCCCUAGGGUUGUAAAGCUCUUUUGUGCGGGAAGAUAAUGACGGUACCGCAAGAAUAAGCCCCGGCUAACUUCGUGCCAGCAGCCGCGGUAAUACGAAGGGGGCUAGCGUUGCUCGGAAUCACUGGGCGUAAAGGGUGCGUAGGCGGGUCUUUAAGUCAGGGGUGAAAUCCUGGAGCUCAACUCCAGAACUGCCUUUGAUACUGAAGAUCUUGAGUUCGGGAGAGGUGAGUGGAACUGCGAGUGUAGAGGUGAAAUUCGUAGAUAUUCGCAAGAACACCAGUGGCGAAGGCGGCUCACUGGCCCGAUACUGACGCUGAGGCACGAAAGCGUGGGGAGCAAACAGGAUUAGAUACCCUGGUAGUCCCACGCCGUAAAACGAUGAAUGCCACCCGUUAGUGGGGUUUACUCACUAGUGG
rnacentral:rRNA from 1 species